rnacentral:lncRNA from 10 species
AUAAUCUUCUGUCUUAAGAGCACCCAGGAUGUGUUUUCAUUGGUACGGAAUUAGCUAGCCCUGGGAAAGACAGUCCCUCCAGAGUUAGCAACACCCCAAGAUGUCAAAGAUAAAAAUGCAAAAAUUAAAACUCCAUGAUUAACACAACUUUGAAGUCCUUCUCACUUGUCUUUAGAUGAAGGGCAACAUCAUUGCAACAAGUCACACUUUGAGAACUCAAGAGAAUAUGUUUGUUCUGAAAAUCCAGGAAUUAUUGCCAACCCAUGGUUGUCUCCAUAUGUCUUGGGAAAAAUAGGAAAAGGAUUUUUUGAGUUGGUGAUUUGAAUCCAAGACACAAAGAUUCAGGCUCUGGUAAAAAGAUUGUAUAGGCUAUAUUGGCUGACAUAAAAGGUAAGAGCAAGAAUGCAGAGGAUUUCUAUCAACAUAAAGAAGAGUCAAAGAUGGAGAAUAAGAGAAGUUAAGUGGUUUUCCUAAGAUCACAUAAUUAAGACUUAUUAAUAAAAAGUUUGAUGCUCUUUCUAUUAUAA